GAACGCUGGCGGCAUGCCUUACACAUGCAAGUCGAACGGCAGCGGGGGGAGCUUGCUCCCUGACGGCGAGUGGCGGACGGGUGAGUAACACGUAGGAAUCUACCUUAAUUAUAAUAGUUAGUGGGGGAUAACCCGGGGAAACUCGGGCUAAUACCGCAUAAUCUCUUCAAAGCAAAGCGGGGGAUCUUCGGACCUCGUGCUAUGAGAUGAGCCUGCGUCGGAUUAGCUAGUUGGUAGGGUAAUGGCCUACCAAGGCGACGAUCCGUAGCUGGUCUGAGAGGACGAUCAGCCACACUGGGACUGAGACACGGCU
rnacentral:rRNA from 1 species